AUAGGUCAGGAAAAGGCAGUACUAAAUCGCAGAAGUCUGAUGACAUACUCAUACUCAUAUGUGUGUAUGUACACAUACAUAUGUUCAUGUGUGGAAAAGUCAAUAAGUCCAUACAUACAUACAAGUAUGUACACCACCGCCAUAGGCAACGACUCGGCCAAAAAACUACCCAAGCAAUGGACAGGCAUGCAAAUACAGUCUUCCAUCACUAUACCUAACCAAAAUUGCUAUCAAAGUUGGUCAGAAGAUAAGUUAAUUGUAUUCAUAUGAAAAGACAAUGGUUAAUGCAAAAUUAUAAUAUUAGUCUUCCUCGAUCUGA